AGUCGUGGGGCAGCAUGUCCCGCAGCAAUGCGGGAUGAUGGCGACCGGCAAACGGGUGCGGAACACGUACACAACCUUCCUUUUAGUGGGGAAUAGCCCGGGGAAACCCGGAUUAAUACCCCGUAACAUAAUGAAGUGGCAUCACUUUAUUAUUAUAGCAGCAAUGCGCUUUAAGAUGGGUGUGCGACUGAUCAGGCAGUUGGCGGGGUAACGGCCCACCAAACCUACGAUCAGUAACUGGUGUGAGAGCACGACCAGUCACACGGGCACUGAGACACGGGCCCGACUCCUACGGGAGGCAGCAGUAAGGAAUAUUGGUCAAUGGACGCAAGUCUGAACCAGCCAUGCCGCGUGGAGGAUGAAGGUCCUCUGGAUUGUAAACUUCUUUUAUCUGGGAAGAAAUCCACGAAUUCUUUUGUGGUUGACGGUACCAGAUGAAUAAGCACCGGCUAACUCCGUGCCAGCAGCCGCGGUAAUACGGAGGGUGCAAGCGUUAUCCGGAUUCACUGGGUUUAAAGGGUGCGUAGGUGGGCAGGUAAGUCAGUGGUGAAAUCUCCGGGCUUAACUCGGAAACUGCCAUUGAUACUAUCUGUCUUGAAUACCGUGGAGGUUAGCGGAAUAUGUCAUGUAGCGGUGAAAUGCUUAGAUAUGACAUAGAACACCAAUUGCGAAGGCAGCUGGCUACACGAAUAUUGACACUGAUGCACGAAAGCGUGGGGAUCAAACAGGAUUAGAUACCCUGGUAGUCCACGCCCU
rnacentral:rRNA from 1 species